GAGAAGGCAGCUUAAUGUGCAGACACACCACCUUCCUUGAAAGGAAUCUUGUCAAAUCACUGUGCUUGCAAGGUGCAGGGUUCUUCCACACCAAACUCAGUGAAAUGGUGGAAAUUGUCAACAACAUAACUCUCAACAGGUUCUUCACAUCUGGCCUGGACUGUCCUUCUCAUCUGGAACAAGUUUCACUGAGUGAGUGGAAAGUGUCCA